rnacentral:rRNA from 1 species
GUUGAACGCUGGCGGCAGGCUUAACACAUGCAAGUCGAGCGGAGAUGAGGUGCUUGCACCUUAUCUUAGCGGCGGACGGGUGAGUAAUGCUUAGGAAUCUGCCUAUUAGUGGGGGACAACAUUCCGAAAGGAAUGCUAAUACCGCAUACGUCCUACGGGAGAAAGCAGGGGAUCUUCGGACCUUGCGCUAAUAGAUGAGCCUAAGUCGGAUUAGCUAGUUGGUGGGGUAAAGGCCUACCAAGGCGACGAUCUGUAGCGGGUCUGAGAGGAUGAUCAGCCACACUGGGACUGGGACACGGCCCAGACUCCUACGGGAGGCAGCAGUGGGGAAUAUUGGACAAUGGGGGGAACCCUGAUCCAGCCAUGCCGCGUGUGUGAAGAAGGCCUUAUGGUUGUAAAGCACUUUAAGCGAGGAGGAGGCUACUGAGACUAAUACUCUUGGAUAGUGGACGUUACUCGCAGAAUAAGCACCGGCUAACUCUGUGCCAGCCGCCGCGGUAACAC